rnacentral:rRNA from 1 species
UACGUAGGGUGCGAGCGUUGUCCGGAAUUAUUGGGCGUAAAGGGCUCGUAGGCGGUCUGUUGCGUCGGGAGUGAAAACUCAGGGCUUAACCCUGAGCCUGCUUCCGAUACGGGCAGACUAGAGGUAUGCAGGGGAGAACGGAAUUCCUGGUGUAGCGGUGAAAUGCGCAGAUAUCAGGAGGAACACCAGCGGCGAAGGCGGCGCUCUGGGCCGGUACUGACGCUGAGGAGCGAAAGCGUGGGUAGCAAACAGG